UUUGAGAGUUUAUUUAAGCAUCUAUGCUAAAUUCACAUUUGCUAGAGAUUCGCAAACUAAUGACAUUUUAAUCCACGGCAAAUUAACAAACUUCUCUAUGAGAAAUAACGGCAAACACUGCAGACUCUGAAGUGUUGGUAGGAGCUGAGCCACUCUUGGGCACUUUGGGCAUCUUUGGGAGUUGAGUUUAAGUUGACUUUGCUCUCCGUCGCAGUGUCUCUUUCGCAGUCUCUGUUCGUUUGUAUCUCUUGUGUAUGGUCUCCACGCUCCACGCUCCACGCUUGCUGCGGCUCACUUGGCGGCAAAUUGCUGUUGCAUGCCCGAAGACGACGACGACUACGACGUCGACGACGACGUCGCUGGCGUCGGCAAAACAACAAAGCGGAAUCUCUGCAUUGGGCACACGCCAUUCCCAACAUCAAAGUGUGCCGACCGAGGCACAGAUUUCUGAGGCUGCCGCCACCGUUGGGGCAGCAGCACUAACACUAACAACAACAACAACAACUGUUUCUGCUGCUCAUUUGUGUUUUGAGGCGCAUUGUGCGACGCGCGUGUUAAGUGGACUGUGAAUAUGAAAGGAAAGUUCGAAAAAAAAAAAACAACUUUUGCCGCCAAAUAAAUGCAGACGAACAGACAAGGCAGCUCCUGCAGCCUUCUACUUACUGUCCAGUCUGUCUGUGUGUGUGUGCACGUGUGUGUGUGUGUGUAGGCCUCCGCUCUCGUCGUUGCGUCUCUGGGUUCUUAAUCAAGAAACGCAUCGGCGGCGUAUCACAGUAGCACUUUAAACGUAAAUUGCUUUUAACAUGGUUAUUACAAUCUUAACGUUUGUCUGGCCACGAAGCACUUCAGGCAGCAGCAACCUGUUGUCGAUGCUUGUUAUUCUUGUUGUUGUUGCCGCUGCUGUUGCUGUUGUUGUUGCUGUGUGCAGUUGCUCCGACAACAGCAAUAGAAGUCAAUGCUGGCCAGAUCUAUGGGUUUCGUUUGUGCCCGUUAGUUUGGCUGCUUGGUUGGCCACUCGCCAGCCGUUUCGAUCAUCAUCGGUCUUUGUCUGGGGUUUGGGGUCUGGGUCUGCGUUUCAUUUGGUAGAUUGUUGUAAUUAUGAUUGCGCGAUUAUGAUUGGAUUAGUUGUUGUCGGUAGCUUUUUGCUUUAAGUUCGCCUUAAUCGAAAUUGUUUUGUGGCGGAAAUGAGGCAAAUGCCAGUCCAGCUGCUAAUUAGUUAACGCUCCGGCCAGUCGGCCAGUACAGCAGCAGCAGAUCAAAAGGGCAGGCCGCAGGAUUAAGUUAGCGAGUCUUUUGUUGGCAACAGCUGCUGCCUGUUGCCUGUUCGCUGUUGCCUGUGUGGCGAUAAUCUUGCAUUUAAAUAUUUCGCAGGAAAACACGCAAAUCCGCUGACUUGUCACACCUUGUGGCCAGGGUAUCUGCGUGUGUGGCAUUGCCUGGCUGAGCACUUUAGCUUCGCAGCGUAAGUAUUUAAUUUCAGGUAAAUUUGUAAGAUAAAUAAUUGUCGCUUACCUGACGCGCCGUGCUUCAAAGAACUUCAUUGUGUUUUGCAUAUGCAGCGCAGCCAGCAUUGUAUACAUGUGUGUAUGUGUGAGUGUGUGUGUGAGCUCGGGAACUUUGGCCAAAAGGACCUUCAAAAGGACCGACUUUGUCAAUGUGUGCGUGCGUAGAUUAUGGGCAACUGCAACGGCGACAACGAGCGGCAUUGUUGCCAUCACUGGGCCUUUUGUAAUGCCUCAUGCUGGGAGCGGAUCACAACAGCGGGACAUGGACGAUCAAUAACGCUCAGCCGCACACUUUUGAAGUCGCCUGUGAUCGUCGCCUGGGCUUGUGCUGCAUCAAAUUUAGGUGGAACUGGUAACUAUUGAAACUUCACUCGUCUCAUGAUGACGAAUCGGAAAUGGUCCCCGAUGCGGCACCAGCAUUGAUAAUCAAUAAGCCGAGCCGAAGACCUCUUAUACGAGCCGAAGACAGAGACGACGAUGCAGACACAGACGGAGACACAGACACGGACACAGUCAAAGAUGCAGACGAUGCUGGAGACGGGUCUCCCACUGAGCGCUCAUCAAAUUGUGCCAAGAUUUACGAGCCUCUUGAUUGAGUUUUCUUAUGCUUUGAAUACGGCAAACAUCAGACAGGACCACCGUACGAAACUUGGCAGCGCAGCGGGCCAGAGCUGCCAAAGAUGCGACAUGGUAGAUGUGAGAUUUCGGUUAACAUUGUCUCAGCGCUGUGUAGCAGCAGCAGCAGCAGCAGUCAAAGCCAUGGCCAUGGCCACGUCCGCUCUUCCCUAUAGAAUGACAAAUUGUGCUGAUAUCGCAACAUGUUGAUUGAGUGCUGCAACAUUGCUGCAGCCUCUGCAGAACCGUGGCACGGCAAACUGAUGAAUUUGCAUUCUGUGUUAACGGCGCAGCUCACAGACUUUUUGCUGCCGAAAAUCUUGAAAUUAUUGAUUAUGAUUUCACUAUGGAAAAGGAUUCGUGGCAUAACAAUAAACAAUUAUCGAUAUGAAACGUAUGCUAAGGGAUUUAGAAUGAGACAAAAGCAGCAACGCUAACGUCCGCUGCAGCAGCGAAGUAGAAGCAGAGGCUAGGACGACUCAAAUGGCGCUUAUGAAAAAUAUAAUUCAAGAUACCAUAUUCGAUUGUAAGGGAUUAUAUACAGUUAAAUACAUCGGAAGCAGGACUUGCAAAGAAAUAUGAAUUUA